ACGUAGCGCAAUUGCUUGACAUCAAUUUUGUUUGAUUUGGGUAUUGUGGGGGUGCUGGUUGACCAUAGAUGACAUCUAGAAACUUUUAUUAGUAUCUUUAAAAUGAUAGCGGCACAAACCAGCACAAACGCAGCAAAAACAUUUGACACUAGAAAAGGUGGGGGGCUAACUUCACUCAUGUCACCAGAACAACUGCAGGUGCCCGUAAGUUGCAGUGUUUCAGCAUCUAGCUAGCCCUGCUGAAGAGAAGCAAGCAUAAAACUGGUGUCAAGCCAGCCCCAACUUAGUUUUGAGUGUGUAUAUUAAGUUAUAUGGUAAGAGAUGUGGAGACCUGAUUUCAAAAUAAAAGCCAACUUCGUUUGAAUUCAGCUUCAACAUUAACACAUUCAGUCCAUAAUAACAAAUUUUAGGUAGUGUUGUUUCCACAUUUUAAUGUUAGACCCACAGGACACACCCUAGUACUCGAGUAGUACCUUUGCCAAUAUCAAGGCAGUCCUUUUUUGGAUUUCAAAGUAAAAGCCUUCUGAAUUUUCCUUUCUGAGCUACUCUUUCAAGAAUUUCAGAAUGCUGUAAAAAGGAAAAUUCCUGUCUCCAAACUCUAAUUUCACUCUAGAUCAACAAGAUACACUCUCACAGGGGUACACUGAAAAAAUGGAAAUUGGCAGGCUUUUGAAUUUGCACAAAUGAAUUUAGUUAAUGCUACACAAGCCUUUCAUGUUUCUCUUAUUUACAUGAUUGAAUAAAGUACCAUUUACUUGAUUAUAAACAAUACUGAGACUACUCAUUUUUCUUGCAUUGAUUUAAAGUGACUAAAUUAGAAUACUAAAACCAUUGUAAUCAUGUUUGACCACAACCGGAAAUGAUGCAAUAUAUUCAAAGACAACAACUAAAUAUGAUUGGAUAAUAAGACCUAGAGUCUUAUCCAAUAAGACAACAACAUAAUUUAAGGAGAGCGCAAUUGACUGCCAGAUUCUGGAAGACUGUUUAGCUGUAUGCAACCUUUGGCACUGAGUCAGGCAUACUGAGAAGAGUCCUGUGGUCCUAAAGACUGUCUUGGCUGACGGAACCUGUCGAAGGCUCACUCUCUAAUGGAGCGCCUGAAUCAACUGAGGAUCUCAUCGUUGAAGUCAAGAGACAGUGUUGUCUUCAGGGCAGUUUCAGACUUCAGUUUAUGGAUUCCUUGUUUGGGGAUGAGUUUCUUAACCUUACCUCAGUUUCAGAAGUAGCAGACGAAGGGACUCUUGAAGCUAUUGACAUGUCAAAGCCCACCACAUGGACAUAAAAAAGAGUAACAGAGUUGGAGAAACUCAAGAUGGAAAAGACUUUUUCAUACAGAAGACAUGAAGUUGUUCGUGAUGCACCAAUGGUGGAGGCUUUCAUGGCAAAAUGGCCUGCUCUAUUUGAUUUCCAUGAGAUCAACGCUGAGUUUAAGAGAAUUGCCACCAUCCCCCCUCAAACAAAGUUCCUGGCUCAGCUGGAUCUCCACUUGGACAACCUGGUGAAGUUGGUCAACAGAAGAGGACAGCUUGGACUAAUACUGAAAAGAAUUGCGGCACAAAUGGAUAAUUGUGAAGAUGUUGAUGCUGAGUGUGUCAAGGGAGUGUGUAUCUACAUGGGUGAAGACCCUGACAUGCUUAUCAGGGAGUAUGUGGGCAUGGAAGAACGUGCCAUCAGUGAGACUGUUGAAGACAUCACUGUUCGGAUUUAAAGAGCAAGCUUCAGCAGAAGAACAAGAGUUGUCCUUGCAGGCAUCAGGGUGGCGAAGAAUUUGGAUAAUGUAGCAUUUGCUGUGAUAAUGCUAUUUGGACUCAUGUAUGCAUUAAACCUUACCUACCCUGCUGACCUCCGCUACAACUUUAACGUUUUCCAGAAGGUUUUCAUGGAACUGGAUGGAGCUAAACUCUCUAAAGUUCUUGCUUUCAAAAACCAUCAGUUUCACUGAGAAGUCAAAGACUGCACUUCUGCAAUUCUUUGCAGUUUUUCAUUUUGUGUUCAGUAACGUUAUACUGCUUAUCUUUUUAUUGCUUUCCCCUCAUGUGACUGCAAUGCAGGAAGAUUUUUCCUUUUGGUAUCAUGUUGUAAGAAAUUUUUACUGAUGAUUUUUAGCAGUAUGUUCUGAGUCAACCUUAAUGUCCUGCUUACAUGUUUAAAAGGAAGAU